UAGGGAAAAUUGGGCAAUGGGCGAAAGCCUGACCCAGCAACGCCGCGUGCACGAUGAAGGUCUUCGGAUCGUAAAAUGCUUUUCUCAGGGAUGAUACCAGACAGUACCUGAGGAAUAAGUCUCGGCUAACUACGUGCCAGCAGCCGCGGUAAUAA
rnacentral:rRNA from 1 species